AGCUCCAAUAGCGUAUAUUAAAGUUGUUGCAGUUAAAAAGCUCGUAGUUGGAUCUCGGGUGUGCGGCUUGGCGGUGGCGGUCUCUUGUUCGAGCCUCUAGCGGGGGGAGAGCGGAGUCCGUUUCGCAAACUGCUGGCCGUGACCUGCCAGCCGGUUUGGCCUGGGUGCUCUUAGGUGAGUGUCCUGGCUGGCCGGAACGUUUACUUUGAAGAAAUUAGAGUGCUCCAAGCAGGCUGCUUCUGCCUGAAUAUCAGUGCAUGGAAUAAUGGAAGAGGACCUCGGUUCUAUUUUGUUGGUUUUCGGAACUGGAGGUAAUGAUUAAGAGGGACAGACGGGGGCAUUCGUAUUACGGUGUUAGAGGUGAAAUUCUUGGAUCGCCGUAAGACGAACUACUGCGAAAGCAUUUGCCAAGAAUGUUUUCA
rnacentral:rRNA from 1 species